UUUUUUUUUUUCGUUUAUUAUUUUUAUCCCUAGCCAACAACGUUCUGCUGCUAGCAACUGUAACAGAGCAAUCAAUUAACAAUGACUACAACCGGCAACAGCAGCGAUAUCCUUAUGCUGGAGGCACCGCCGGAACCCUCGCGGCCAUGGUCGAACUCUUUCAAUGCAGAAAUCGUCGAUGCAUUGCCUUACAUCGACGACGAUUAUGGACAUCCAUCCGUCAAGGCAGAGGUUGAUCGGCUAGUUGAGGAAGAGAUGCGUAGAAGCCACAAGAAACCUGCUGAUUUUUUGAAGGACUUGCCUCCUCUCCAAAAGUUCAGUUUCGAGAAUUAUCCAAUGCUUGCUAAAGAGUAUGAGCGUGUUAGAGCUGGAAAGCCUCCAAGUACUCUUGAUUUUUCUAGAUAUUCUCACUUGGAUUUGCCACCCGCCAAUAAGAUGAAUGAAGAAACUGCUUGGAAGCAAGCACUUCAGAAAGCAGAAUGCUUGUUGCAACAUCAAGUGAUCAGGCUGGAAAAUUUGGACCUGAUAUCAAAAUAUGGUCCAAAUGUGUGGAUACAACACAAUCAGCAAUUGGAAGCAAUGUUAUCCAGAAUGCAAAAGUUAGCUCGGGAACAAAAUGAAAAAAUUGAAGCCGUGAAUCGUGAAAGGAAAUAUCAUCAGCAAAAUACUGCAUACGAGAUGAGUGCUUUGUCCAUGCAAUGGAAGGAGCUUUGUCAGAAAAAUAUAGAAAUCCAAGCGGCGUGUACCAAAAUAGAAAUGCAGAUCGAAGAAUUGAAGAAAGAAGCUGCAGAAAGAGGCUGGAAUUUGGAAGCAAACAUAGAGAAUGGUUCUGUUAUUACAUAGAAAACAAUAAGACCUUCUCAGGUAUCUGGCUUCCCUGAAUGGAUCAGUUUUCAGUUGGAUUCAUUUUUGGAGCAUGCCCACCCCUGCAAAAAUAAAUGGGAAUUAUAAGGAGAACAAAAAGGAACUGAUGUAAACAUGUGUAUGGGUGUAUGGAGAUGAAGCAUGCAAAGUGAGGAACUUUAGCCCAGAACCUUACACUAGUUUCUGGCUUUCUAUGCAGAUUUGAAAAAUAGGAAUUCCAUUCAGAAAAAUAUGAAAAUACAUUUCUAUGGUUUCUGGCGGCUCAUUGCUCUGGAUUUUGCAGACUCAUGUUGUGGGUUCUCGCGCGGAAAAACCUUUGUUUCUAGUUUUGUCCUGCUUCUGUUUUUAAGAUCAAUUAUUGUUUAGGCUUAAUAUUAAUGUUGUAUUUGAUGAGACUUGUUCUGGUUGUAUAUCUUAUGAUGAAGAGAAUGACUUUAUUCGUUCAGCUAGAAAGAGAGAGAAUAGAUUUGGGUAAUUCAUCAUACGACUUUUGUCUUGUACCUCUUGCUGACUAAAGAAAUAUGACUGAUGAGGCAAAGCUGUCAAUUUGAAAGAGGUUCGACUGAACUUCAAACCUAACCUUCUCUGUGUAUCGUUUUGGCUUUCAUUUAGCAUUAUAUAUUUAGCAAUUAGACU